rnacentral:tRNA from 1 species
GAGAAUAUGGCUUAGUGGUAGAGUGCAAGCCUAGCAUGCAUGAAGCCCUAGGUUCGAUUCCUCAGUACCUCA